AUAUUUUUGUGUGGGCCCUAUGGCCGGCUAUGCUAUCAAGUCUUGUUCAUGUUUGGCAAGAAUGUAGGUAGACUAUAGUUUCAUCAUUAAUAUGGUGGAUCAAGUGAAGAGUGUGAGCUAGAGAACUUGGUGCUGCCAUCAUCAGCUCGUCGACAAUGACACUAUAACCGAGAAAUUUAAUAUGUAUAGAUCUACACGUAUUUAAAAUGUCUACUUCUCUGUACAGGAGCAAUGGCUAAUAUCCAGCUAUCCCAACAGUGCUCCUCUUGGCUAUACUAACGGACGAGACUGGACAGUUUGAGACACAGGACUGGAGUAUGACCUGCUCAUUCGAGCGUUGCUGGGUAGCUCAGAGACAUCAAGAGAAUCUACGUUUUCUCAAGCAAUGAGUUACGAGUUGGGGCCUGGAAUCAGAGAAGUCCAGCAGCCUGCUAAAUCUUUUUGAAACGUAAUUUGAAGGCAUUCAAUCAUCCUGAAGUUGCCCUGGGUCACUGUAAUUGUGCUGCAGCACAACUGGCAACUCCCCAGGCCUUUGUGAAGCAGCUCCCUAUGUGCAUCUUUUGUGUACUCACUCUGUGCAUUUUCUGUGUACAAAUUUCGAUUAUUGAUUUAUUAAAUA